AAGUCGAACGGUUGUAGCAAUACAGCAGUGGCGGACGGGUGCGUAACGCGUAUGUAACCUAUCGUGGGGAGGGGGAUAACAUCUCGAAAGGGGUGCUAAUACCGCAUGAUGCAGCGGCUUCUUCGGAAGACAGUUGUUAAAGAUUUAUCGCCUCACGAGGGGCAUGCGUCCGAUUAGCUAGUUGGUGGGGUAACGGCCCACCAAGGCCACGAUCGGUAGCUGGUCUGAGAGGAUGAUCAGCCACACUGGCACUGAGACACGGGCCAGACUCCUACGGGAGGCAGCAGUAGGGAAUAUUGGGCAAUGGGCGAAAGCCUGACCCAGCCAUGCCGCGUGCGGGAAGAAGGCGCAUCGCGUUGUAAACCGCUUUUGCCAGAGGAUAAAGCCCCGCCCGGCGGGGCCUGAAGGUACCUGGCGAAUAAGCACCGGCCAACUACGUGCCAGCAGCCGCGGUAAUACGUAGGGUGCAAGCGUUGUCCGGAAUUACUGGGUUUAAAGGGUGCGUAGGCGGGAAGGUAAGUCGUAGAUGAAAUGGCCGCGCUUAACGUGGGCCGCUGUCUGCGAUACUGCCUACCUUGAGGGAGGUUGAGGUAGCUGGAACGAGUGGUGUAGCGGUGAAAUGCGUAGAG
rnacentral:rRNA from 1 species